CUAUGAAGCCUUUCAGGCGUAAUGAACUGUAACCAACGUCUGUUGACAACAGAGAGUGCCACCUGGCGUCGUGACGACACGACUGUGGUACUCUAUGAACGUAAUGUCGUCAUUUGUGACAGGAUUUAUGAAGAAAGAGCGAAGAGGUGGAUCCGUGUGAGCAGCGGAGGAGGUUGUUAACAGAGAAAGACACAGGGGGGUUUAUUGCUACAAUGUAGGUGGACCUUCGGUUCUUUUCGGUGGCUACAAACAGUCUGGGUUUGGCAGAGACCUGUAGUCAUUAAAGUGCCGGAGAAGAAUUCAUAAACCGUAUUAUUGCAAUAAUUCAUAAAAGUCUUUUUCUGACAUCAUUGCAGUAGUUCUAAAUAAUAAUUUUAAUAAUGAAAAUAAUUUUAAGUUUUUGUUCUUGAUUUCGAAAAGGCUAGUAAUUUUCUUAUUAAUUAAAUUUUAAAGAUGUGUUUACAUUCAAGUUGCUUCUUCACCAAUAAUUUUCAGAGUAAAAAACUAUAUACAUUUUAAACUUUUUCCUGUUUUAGGAAAACCAGAAAACAGGGCUUUAAUUUAGAUUCAAGAUUCAAGAUUCAAGAUAUUGUAUUUGUCUUCAUAAUACAUAAAAAGAAAUUUUGGCUGUACAGCAUUUCAAAAAUUACAAUAAUUAAUAAGAAACGUAUAUGAACACACAGUAACAAUAAAAAAAAAUACAACAAGGCAAGUUACCAAAAAACUAGUCUAAAACAAUAAAUUUUUAAAAAGUUAGAAAGUUAAAAAAUUUUAAAAUAGAUUAAAAAGUAAAACUUCGAUUUAUCUUUUAACACCGACAUUAAAAAUAUGGAUGGAAUUUGGCACAAAUGAGUUUCUGUAGCGACAACGCAGUGUACGAGGAGGGCAAAGUCUUAUACCUGAUCUAUUAAAACUAUAGCAACUGUGAAGGGGUUGUGUAGGGUCAUUCAUAAUUUUGUUUAUCUUAAGAGCAACACGUUUUUCAUAUAUUUUAGACAAUGGUGUAAUGUUGCAUUUAAUAAUACGCUGUGCUAUUUUUCUUGCUCUUUCAAUCUUUUUCUUUUUAUCAAUGGUUAGAUUACCGAAGAAACAUAACAUGUUAAAACACAGAACACUUUGAAUCAUAGCCUGAUAAAAAAAAGCACCAUUAUUUUGUUGUCUACUUUAAAUUCUUUUAGUUUUCUUAAAAAGUAUAGCCUCUUGGAUGCUUUGCUAGCUAGAAUUUUUGAAUUUGUAUUCCACUUUAGCUGAUCGUUAACAAUAGUUCCUAAAUAUUUGUUCUCAGAUACUUUUUCUACAAUUUCAUCUUUAACUAUUACAGGUUCAUGAUGAAUAACAGAUUUGCGAAAGUCAAAAAUUAUUUCCUUUGUCUUGCUUGCAUUUAAAAAUAAAUUUUGCUUGUCACACCA